AUAAGACACAAGACUGUACUAUCCGCGAUGGUAUAAGACAUGUGACUGCACUAUCCGCGAUGGUAUAAGACAUGUGACUGCACUAUCCGCGAUGGUAUAAGACAUGUGACUGUACUAUCCGCGAUGGUAUAAGACACAAUACUGCACUAUCCGCGAUGGUAUAAGACAUGUGACUGCACUAUCCGCGAUGGUAUAAGACAUGUGACUGCACUAUCCGCGAUGGUAUAAGACAUGUGACUGCACUAUCCGCGAUGGUAUAAGACAUGUGACUGCACUAUCCGCGAUGGUAUAAGACAUGUGACUGCACUAUCCGCGAUGGUAUAAGACAUGUGACUGCACUAUCCGCGAUGGUAUAAGACAUGUGACUGCACUAUCCGCGAUGGUAUAAGACAUGUGACUGCACUAUCCGCGAUGGUAUAAGACAUGUGACUGCACUAUCCGCGAUGGUAGAAACGAAGUAUGAUUUUAAGUUAGUAUUAAAAGAAAUUCAUAUACAGAACGAACGGAGCGCGUGUUAUGAGGUCCUACGAGGUACCCCGUCACCCAUUCUCCUGCCGGACUUGAAAAAAUGGCAUGAUAAAAACCCCAUUAAUACUCUGAGCCUCGAUUUUAAGUUAGUGUUAAAAGAAAUUCAAAUAUGGUGACAGUUUCCAAGAUUCAUAUCAAGCGACGGUUUCCGAGAUUUCAAACCCUAGGAGUGCUUGUUAUGGGGUCUUCCGAGGUAAGCUGUGACCUGAUCUUCCGCCGGACUUGAAAAUACACCAUUGCAAUUAAGUUAGAUGUAAAAUAAAUUCAUAUCAAGCGAUGGUUUCCGAGAUUUCGAACCCUAGGAGUGCUUGUUAUGGGGUCUUCCGAGGUAAGCUGUGACCUGAUCUUCCGCCGGACUUGAAAAUACGACAUUGCAAUUAAGUUAGCGUUAAAAUGAAUUUAUAUAUGGCAACAAUUUCCGAGAUUUCAAACCCUAGGAGUGCUUGUUAUGGGGUCUUCCGAGGUAAGCUGUGACCUGAUCUUCCGCCGGACUUGAAGAUACGACAUUGCAAUUAAGUUAGCGUUAAAAUAAAUUCAUAUCAAGCGAUGGUUUCCGAGAUUUCGAACCCUAGGAGUGCUUGUUAAGGGGUCUUCCGAGGUAAGCUGCGACCCAUAUCUUCCGCUGGACUUGAAAAUACACCAUUGCAAUUAAGUUAGCAGUAAAAUGAAUUUAUAUAUGGCAACAGUUUCCGAGAUUUUGAACCCUAGGAGUGCUUGUUAUGGGGUCUUCCGAGGUAAGCUGUGACCUGAUCUUCUGCCGGACUUGAAAAUACAUCAAAACAGUCUAUUUCCACUUAUACUUUCUUCCUUCCUUCAUCAACUUUCAUUCUUACAUCCUCAGCGGACAUUCUUCUGCCAUAGAAACACAAGGCAUCUCUGUGUGCUCGUCAUUUUUCCGCUACUUGCCAGAAUGUGAUGUGGCGAUUGAUUUUGUCUUCUGUAUUUCUCUAAUAAAAGAAACGCUCGCCAUGGUAUAUCUCUGUUCGCCAUUCCUUCGUUGGUCGCCAAAUACGAUAUCGCAACUGAUUCUGGCUUCUGCAUUUCUCUAAUUAAGGGAACGCUUGCCAUGGUAUAUCUCUGUUCGCCAUUCCUUCAUUGGUCGCCAAAUACGAUAUGGCAACUGAUUCUGGUCUCUGCAUUUCUCUAAUUAAGGGAACACUUGCCAUGGUAUAUCUCUGUUUGCCAUUCCUUCGUUGGUCGCCAAAUACAAUAUGGCAACUGAUUCUGGCUUCUGCAUUUCUCUAAUUAAAGGAACGCUUGCCAUGGUAUAUCUCUGUUCGCCAUUCUUUUGUUACUCGCCAAAAUACGAUAUUUCAAUUGAUUUCGUCCUCGGUAUUUCUCUAUGUAAAGGAACGCUUGCCAUGGUAUAUCUCUGUUCGCCAUUCCUUCGUUACUCGCCAAAAUACGAUAUUUCAAUUGAUUUCGUCUUCGGUAUUUCUCUAUGUAAAGGAACGCUGGCCAUGGUGUCUCUUGCGGUCGAUCGUAAACCAUUCCUUUACCAGCCACAGAAAUACACAACAAACCACCAUGGAUGAUUUUGUUUACGAGCUCCAUCCAUCACUUUUCCAGUUUCAAUUUCUGCCGUUCGUAACCCCAAGGAACGCUGGCUAUUGUGUCUCGUAGCAUUUCAUGAGCAAUUCUUUUAUUAGCUACGGAAAUACACAACAAACCACCAUGGAUGAUUUUGUUUACGAGCUCCAUCCAUCACUUUUCCAGUUUCGAUUUCUGACGUUCGUAACCCCAAGGAACGCUGGCUAUGGUGUCUCGUAGCAUUUCAUGAGCAAUUCUUUUAUUAGCUACAGAAAUACGCAAAAAAACACCAUGGAUGAUUUUGUUUACGAGCUCCAUCCAUCACUUUUACAGUUUCGAUUUCUGACGUUCGUAACCCCAAGGAACGCUGGCUAUGGUAUCUCUGUAUUUAACAAACCAUUCCUUUGCAGCUGCGGAUAUACACAGGAAAACCCCCAUGGACAAUUUCCUUACGAGCUGCGUCAAUCACCUUUUCUGUUUCAAUUUCCGCUGUUCAUAACCCCAAGGAACGCUGGCUAUGGUAUAC